GUUCCGUUCACUACCAAUAGCGUACCGAGCUCUGGAGGGUCGCGAAGAAGCUAUCUGAGCGUUGUGUUAGAGAUACGACAUUCUGAGGCAACAUCCUCGAGUGUUUCUGCAAGGGAUGCGUCUCAAACGGAAACAAGAUUUCUUAAAGUAUGUAUGUGCAUCACACGAGACGUCCUCCACAGGUUCCAAAGGUGAAACGAGGUCGUUUUGGGUUCAUUGCUGACGGAGCUCUCACUCAAGCUAGUACAGUGGGCGGUCUUCUCGAGAUUGUCGAGCUGUCUGCCUUCCUGACAUGGCGGUGUGCGCUGCUCGAGGGGGCGACUGUACGUCCUGGGACGACUUCAUAGGGAACUGUGCCCUCACUUCGCGUCUGAUAUGAAAGCCAAUAUACAAGUGUGCCAAGUUAUAUCAACGGCUCUACGCGCUCACCAGUAUAAAGAAGGGAGCAACGCCUGCCCAGCAAAACUUCCACCAGCAGCCUACGGGAAAACCGAGCAUUUCCUUGAUGUCCUCGGAGAAGCGGCGUAUUCCUGCGUAUCGCACGUAUAUCAACAGAGAUAAGACUGCACGAAGUGAGAAACGUCACGAAGAAACACCGUACCGUAAAUCCAGGAUACGGCGAUCGCUUCAAAGAAUACGGCGAUGAGGAUGGAGUAGCUCGCUGCAUAGCGGUCCAACAGGGUCACGACAUACACUCCGCCCUGCAAAACAGGCCAUUAACAUUUCGUGAGCUCGCUUUCAAUUACAAUAAAUGGCGAUAUAGUUUA